rnacentral:rRNA from 1 species
CUGAGUACGGCGGAACACGUGAAAUUCCGUCGGAAUCCGGGAGGACCAUCUCCCAAGGCUAAAUACUCCCUAGUGACCGAUAGUGAACCAGUACCGUGAGGGAAAGGUGAAAAGCACCCCGGAAGGGGAGUGAAACAGUUCCUGAAACCGUGUGCCUACAAGUAGUUAGAGCCCGUUAAUGGGUGAUAGCGUGCCUUUUGUAGAAUGAACCGGCGAGUUACGAUUUGUUGCAAGGUUAAGCGGAAAAAGCGGAGCCGUAGCGAAAGCGAGUCUGAAUAGGGCGCAUAAGUAACAGGUCGUAGACCCGAAACCAGGUGAUCUACCCAUGUCCAGGAUGAAGGUAAGGUAAUACUUACUGGAGGUCCGAACCCACGCACGUUGAAAAGUGCGGGGAUGAGGUGUGGGUAGCGGAGAAAUUCCAAUCGAACUUGGAGAUAGCUGGUUCUCUCCGAAAUAGCUUUAGGGCUAGCCUCGAGGUAAAGAGUCAUGGAGGUAGAGCACUGUUUGGACUAGGGGCCCUUCUCGGGUUACCGAAUUCAGAUAAACUCCGAAUGCCAUGUACUUAUACUCGGGAGUCAGACUGCGAGUGAUAAGAUCCGUAGUCGAAAGGGAAACAGCCCAGACCACCAGUUAAGGUCCCCAAAUAUAUGUUAAGUGGAAAAGGAUGUGGGGUUGCUUAGACAACCAGGAUGUUGGCUUAGAAGCAGCCACCAUUGAAAGAGUGCGUAAUAGCUCACUGGUCGAGUGACCCCGCGCCGAAAAUGUACCGGGGCUAAACAUAUUACCGAAACUGUGGAUGAACCUCUUUAGAGGUUCGUGGUAGGAGAGCGUUCUAAGGGCGGUGAAGUCAGACCGGAAGGACUGGUGGAGCGCUUAGAAGUGAGAAUGCCGGUAUGAGUAGCGAAAGAAGGGUGAGAAUCCCUUCCACCGAAUAUCUAAGGUUUCCUGAGGAAGGCUCGUCCGCUCAGGGUUAGUCGGGACCUAAGCCGAGGCCGAUAGGCGUAGGCGAUGGACAACAGGUAGAGAUUCCUGUACCAGUGCUAAUUGUUUAACCGAUGGGGUGACACAGAAGGAUAGGGAAUCGCACGAAUGGAAAUGUGCGUCCAAGCAGUGAGUGUGAGAAGUAGGCAAAUCCGCUUCUCGCGAAGCAUGAGCUGUGAUGGGGAAGGAAAUUAAGUACGGAAGUUCCUGAUUUCACGCUGUCAAGAAAAGCCUCUAGGAAGAGUAGUACUGCCCGUACCGCAAACCGACACAGGUAGAUGAGGAGAGAAUCCUAAGGUGAGCGAGAGAACUCUCGUUAAGGAACUCGGCAAAAUGACCCCGUAACUUCGGGAGAAGGGGUGCUCUAUUAGGGUGCAAGCCC